UCCCAGACUCCUACGGGAGGCAGCAGUGGGGAAUAUUGCGCAAUGGGCGCAAGCCUGACCCAGCAACGCCGCGUGAAGGAAGAAGGCUUUCGGGUUGUAAACUUCUUUUAUUCGGGACGAAGAAAGUGACGGUACCGAAUGAAUAAGCCACGGCUAACUACGUGCCAGCAGCCGCGGUAAUACGUAGGUGGCAAGCGUUGUCCGGAUUUACUGGGUGUAAAGGGGGUGUAGCCGGGCUGACAAGUCAGAUGUGAAAUUCCGGGGCUCAACCCCGGGCCUGCAUUUGAAACUGUUGGUCUUGAGUAUCGGAGAGGCAGGCGGAAUUCCUAGUGUAGCGGUGAAAUGCGUAGAUAUUAGGAGGAACACCAGUGGCGAAGGCGGCCUGCUGGACGACAACUGACGGUGAGGCGCGAAAGCGUGGGGAGCAAACAGGAUUAGAUACCCGAGUAC
rnacentral:rRNA from 1 species